AGAGUUUGAUCCUGGCUCAGAUUGAACGCUGGCGGCAUGCUUUACACAUGCAAGUCGAACGGUAACAGGCCGCAAGGUGCUGACGAGUGGCGAACGGGUGAGUAAUGCAUCGGAACGUGCCCAGUCGUGGGGGAUAACGCAGCGAAAGCUGCGCUAAUACCGCAUACGAUCUAUGGAUGAAAGCGGGGGACCGUAAGGCCUCGCGCGAUUGGAGCGGCCGAUGUCAGAUUAGGUAGUUGGUGGGGUAAAGGCUCACCAAGCCGACGAUCUGUAGCUGGUCUGAGAGGACGACCAGCCACACUGGGACUGAGACACGGCCCAGACUCCUACGGGAGGCAGCAGUGGGGAAUUUUGGACAAUGGGCGCAAGCCUGAUCCAGCAAUGCCGCGUGCAGGAAGAAGGCCUUCGGGUUGUAAACUGCUUUUGUACGGAACGAAAAGGCUCUGGUUAAUACCCGGGGCUCAUGACGGUACCGUAAGAAUAAGCACCGGCUAACUACGUGCCAGCAGCCGCGGUAAUACGUAGGGUGCAAGCGUUAAUCGGAAUUACUGGGCGUAAAGCGUGCGCAGGCGGUUUUGUAAGACAGGCGUGAAAUCCCCGGGCUCAACCUGGGAAUUGCGCUUGUGACUGCAAGGCUGGAGUGCGGCAGAGGGGGAUGGAAUUCCG
rnacentral:rRNA from 2 species